rnacentral:rRNA from 1 species
UCCAACCUUGAGCACUACUUGCUGGUGUGAGGGGAUCGGGGCCGCAGAGACCAGGGGGAAGCUACUGUUUAUCAAAAACACAGGUCCAUGCGAAGACGUUAAGUUGAUGUAUAUGGACUGACGCCUGCCCGGUGCUGGAAGGUUAAGAGGAAGGGUUAGCUUCGGCGAAGCUCAGAAUUUAAGCCCCAGUAAACGGCGGUGGUAACUAUAACCAUCCUAAGGUAGCGAAAUUCCUUGUCGGGUAAGUUCCGACCUGCACGAAUGGCGUAACGAUGGCCACACUGUCUCCUCCCGAGACUCAGCGAAGUUGAAAUGUUUGUGAUGAUGCAAUCUACCCGCAGCUAGACGGAAAGACCCCAUGAACCUUUACUGUAGCUUUACAUUGGACUUUGAACAGAUCUGUGUAGGAUAGGUGGGAGGCUUUGAAGUGAGGACGCUAGUUCUCAUGGAGCCAACGUUGAAAUACCACCCUGGUGUGUUUGAGGUUCUAACCUUGGCCCGUGAUCCGGGUUGGGGACAGUGUAUGGUGGGCAGUUUGACUGGGGCGGUCUCCUCCCAAAGAGUAACGGAGGAGCACGAAGGUUGGCUAAGUACGGUCGGACAUCGUACGGUUAGUGCAAUGGCAUAAGCCAGCUUAACUGCGAGACAGACACGUCGAGCAGGUACGAAAGUAGGUCAUAGUGAUCCGGUGGUUCUGUAUGGAAGGGCCAUCGCUCAACGGAUAAAAGGUACUCCGGGGAUAACAGGCUGAUACCGCCCAAGAGUUCAUAUCGACGGCGGUGUUUGGCACCUCGAUGUCGGCUCAUCACAUCCUGGGGCUGAAGUCGGUCCCAAGGGUAUGGCUGUUCGCCAUUUAAAGUGGUACGCGAGCUGGGUUUAGAACGUCGUGAGACAGUUCGGUCCCUAUCUGCCGUGGGUGUAGGAAUAUUGACAGGAUCUGUCCCUAGUACGAGAGGACCGGGAUGGACAUACCUCUGGUGGACCUGUCGUGGCGCCAGCCGCGCAGCAGGGUAGCUAAGUAUGGAAUAGAUA